UGGGGAAUAUUGGACAAUGGGCGGAAGCCUGAUCCAGCCAUGCCGCGUGUGUGAAGAAGGCCUUUUGGUUGUAAAGCACUUUAAGCGAGGAGGAGGCUACUUGGAUUAAUACUCUAGGAUAGUGGACGUUACUCGCAGAAUAAGCACCGGCUAACUCUGUGCCAGCAGCCGCGGUAAUACAGAGGGUGCGAGCGUUAAUCGGAUUUACUGGGCGUAAAGCGUGCGUAGGCGGCUUCUUAAGUCGGAUGUGAAAUCCCUGAGCUUAACUUAGGAAUUGCAUUCGAUACUGGGAAGCUAGAGUAUGGGAGAGGAUGGUAGAAUCCCAGGUGUAGCGGUGAAAUGCGUAGAGAUCUGGAGGAAUACCGAUGGCGAAGGCAGCCAUCUGGCCUAAUACUGACGCUGAGGUACGAAAGCAUGGGGAGCAAACAGG
rnacentral:rRNA from 1 species